AAAAGGAUAAAGAUGCCACCUGGAGUAUAAUAAUCUUUGAAAGGACGAUCAAGAGCAGGUCCAUCUGCCAACAGCUCAGAUACAGAAACAAAUAUGGCAAGAUUCAGACCCACUAGAAGCAAAACCCUCUAUCGUAGAAAGCAACAAAAGCGAAGUCGCGGUGGGUCAGGAAAAAGGAGAAAGUUCCCGCAGCAUGGCAGAAAGAGAGGAGGUCGCAGAUCUCAUGGACAGAGGAGAAGAUAUGAUUAAAGGUGUUUUUCAUUGUUUCUUCCACUCUUGUUUUGGAAAGCUGACUUCUCAAAUGAAACAAAGCAAUUCCUUACCAUCAAAAACACUAAGAUGACUUCAAAGAACAUGAGCAUGAUUGAGCAACGCCACCUGUCAAUAAAAAUUAGCAUUGCA